rnacentral:rRNA from 1 species
GUAGGUGGCAAGCGUUGUCCGGAAUUAUUGGGCGUAAAGCGCGCGCAGGCGGUUCUUUAAGUCUGAUGUGAAAGCCCACGGCUCAACCGUGGAGGGUCAUUGGAAACUGGAGAACUUGAGUACAGAAGAGGAAAGCGGAAUUCCACGUGUAGCGGUGAAAUGCGUAGAGAUGUGGAGGAACACCAGUGGCGAAGGCGGCUUUCUGGUCUGUAACUGACGCUGAGGCGCGAAAGCGUGGGGAGCAAACAGGGAUUAGAUACCCUGGUAGUCCACGCCGUAAACGAUGAGUGCUAAGUGUUAGGGGGGUUUUCCGCCCCCUUAGUGCUGCAGCUAACGCAGUAAGCACUCCGCCUGGGGAGUACGGCCGCAAGGCUG